CCUACGGGAGGCAGCAGUGGGGAAUAUUGGGCAAUGGGGGAAACCCUGACCCAGCAACGCCGCGUGAAGGAAGAAGGCCUUCGGGUUGUAAACUUCUUUUACCAGGGACGAAGAACGUGACGGUACCUGGAGAAAAAGCAACGGCUAACUACGUGCCAGCAGCCGCGGUAAUACGUAGGUGCCAGCAGCCGCGGUAAUACGUGCCAGCAGCCGCGGUAAU
rnacentral:rRNA from 1 species